rnacentral:rRNA from 1 species
AUACGGAGGAUCCGAGCGUUAUCCGGAUUUAUUGGGUUUAAAGGGUGCGCAGGCGGGAGAUUAAGUCGGCGGGGAAAUUUUGCAGCUCAACUGUAAAAGUGCCUUCGAAACUGGUUUCCUUGAGUGUAGAUGAAGUAGGCGGAAUUUGGGGUGUAGCGGUGAAAUGCAUAGAUAUCACGAGGAACUCCGAUUGCGCAGGCAGCUUACUAAACUACUACUGACGCUCAGGCACGAAGGCGUGGGGAUCAAACAGGAUUAGAUACCCUGGUAGUCCACGCAGUAAACGAUGAUUACUAGCUGUUUGCGAUACAAUGUAAGCGGCUGAGCGAAAGCGUUAAGUAAUCCACCUGGGGAGUACGUUCGCAAGAAUGAAACUCAAAUGAAUUGACGGG